UUUAUGGAGAGUUUGAUCCUGGCUCAGGAUGAACGCUGGCGGCGUGCCUAAUACAUGCAAGUCGAGCGAACGGACGAGAAGCUUGCUUCUCUGAUGUUAGCGGCGGACGGGUGAGUAACACGUGGAUAACCUACCUAUAAGACUGGGAUAACUUCGGGAAACCGGAGCUAAUACCGGAUAAUAUUUUGAUCUGCAUGGUUCAAAAGUAAAAGACGGUCUUGCUGUCACUUAUAGAUGGAUCCGCGCUGCAUUAGCUAGUUGGUAAGGUAACGGCUUACCAAGGCAACGAUGCAUAGCC
rnacentral:rRNA from 1 species